rnacentral:miRNA from 1 species
GCAAGUCAAUAAGAUUAU